GUUCACUUAUAAAAGUCCUGGCUGUCCGUUUGGAAACAGUGGCAGGACGCUGUCCUGAAGUGCCUGGGAACUCUAGAAGCCUGUAAACAGUCUGCAAUGCCUCGCGCUACGCUGUCACCGGCGGUUCAUGGAGAAAGGCGGAGAGAGAAGUGCUUCGAGGGACUCCGGUGGGAUGGACCGUGUCUCCACCCUAUGGAGAGAUCUGGGGAGCAUCAGCCUGCUGCAGUGUGGUGGGAGAUGCACUGGGACCCCUGCAUCCAGCGCUGCUCCAAGUGCCUAAGGCUACAGUUUUCUGAUGAACUCAGAGUCUUCCCAGGGAAGUUCAGGACUGUGAGCCAGAGGCUGGAGGGAGACUCUUUCCUGAGAUGUCACUGCUGAGCUUCCACCUUGCUGCUAGGAGAAGGACCUUGGAUCUCCCAUUGCUUUGACUUUCAGAGGAUCAUGUUCCUGUACCUCUGAACCAUCAGGGCAUGCCAAAGCUGCUUUUUAGCAUGUAUCUGGGGUUUCUUCUCACCAGUGUUGCCUCUGUGCCAUCCAAGGCAGGUAGGAAUAGGAUAAAGGAAGGAAUGUGAAUUUUAUUGGUCUUAGCUCCUGUUAGAGUUUCAGCUCUAGUAUGGCAAACACUGGCAAGAGGCAUUUCAGCCACAGAAGCUGGACUGAUCCCUCCUCCUCCUUGCACGGAUCCUCUUGGUGAGCUCUUUGCCCUGCUGCCCCAGGAAGGUCACCCGUGGUGCUCCAACCUUAUUGUUCCGUGUGCAGAGAAUCUCAAUCAGCAGCGACUCAUCUGUCCCAGCUCCCUUCAUCGCCUUCCGAAGCUCUCGGGCCUCGUACUCGCAGGGCAAGUCCAGCAAAGCCAGCACAGCCUUUUCAAAAUUCCCACUCAGGUCUCCCUUCAGGUCCUCUUCCAUCUCCUGUGGGGGCAGUCAGGAGGGUUAGUGCAAAAGCUGAGGUGAGAUUAGAGGAUUUCUUACUUUGUUUAUUAUCAUUGUCUAAUGACUUAAAAGUGCCUUCUAUACCAAAAAGUGACAAAACAAUUUUUAAAAGGCCUUAAAAUACACAGACUUUUUUUUAGAAGCUAAGUUCCCUAAAAAUGUUGGUUUCAGAUUGACUGAAAUGAUUGCCCCAUCUUCAAACACCAGCCAAUAUCAGUCUAGUUAUGACUCUUACUUGUGUAAACAAAUGCAAACUAUUGUUUUGAAAAACUUAACAGGAGUUUAAUCUGAAACAAUAUGUGGAAGCUUCCUCAUUCAAAAGAGCUGCCACACAGGGGAUCAAACUAAGAAUCUUCUCUGUCAGUUUUGGUUAAACCUGACGUCCUGGAAAAAGCAGCAGCUUUCUGCAAGGUGCUUUUAUGCCAAGCAAACAGCAUUUUUACACACACACCCCCACAUCAACCUUAAAUCCAAAUUCAGUAAGACCCUGGAGGAGAGCUGGCUGGUGCAUGCUGAGGAUGCCAGCUGAGGGUGUGUUUGAACUGUCUGCAGUUAACAUAUCCUGCAGCAUGGGAAGCACUUGACAAAGUCAGAACCCUGAAUGAGAAGUCCAGCUCUAUUAUGCUCAAGUUCCUGCUUGCACAACUGCACGUGAACACUCAACUGCUCCAGUCAGAGGCUGCCAUCUGUGCUGGAGCAGUUUCAACACACCCCACAAACGCUGCAAGUUCCUGGAGCAGCAGGAGGGAGAUGGUACCACUUGUGCCUCCUUCCCAGGAGAUUCAGCCUGCCCAGGAAAGUAGAAGUGUUCCUGUGAGCUGAUGACACUGUGAUGUUUCAUGGCAUUUGAUAAUUUCUAAUGCCUAUAUGUAUUAACUCUCAUUAUAGAACAAAAUCUAUAGUAUUUACAGUAACCAAAAUCUGUAUCAUGCUUGCUGUAAAUUUUACAUAUAGAAGGUUUUCAUUUGUCUUCAGUGCUGUCUUAUUGACACUGAUUAAUGAGCAAGCAGACACCAAGAAAAUACCAGUUUAAUAAUAAGGUCUGCAGGAUUCAGUUGUUUACUGAAACAAUAUUUUAGAAGCUUUAUUUUUCUUACACACAAAAUCAUCAGGGCAGUUUAUGCCUCCUGCAGAAAUCAAGUGCCCAAUGAAACUUCUUAGUUUUGCAACAUGUUCCACUUCAUCACUGGAAGAAAUCAUUAUUAUCUCUAUUAAAUUC